rnacentral:lncRNA from 1 species
CAUGGCUUGUGAUCACUGUUAAGCCUAACACUAUGAGAUGCAAACCAAAACACACUGAAGAGUCUCUUAUUCCAGAAGAGACUAGAAAUGGGAAUUCUGCUGAAGUAUUAUGUGAAAGUAAAGACACUAUACAUCCAACUGUCAAUAAGUAUGCAAUAAAUCAACAAGAAAACAAAAAAUUGGAGCCACUGUUUCAAUAUUUCAGUAAUUUUCGUGUAACCAUAUUAAAAAAAAAAAAAAAAAAAACAGUAGCACCCCAGGAGUGAAUUACAGAACUGCAAGCUGAAAAAAACAGGUUGUCAUCUUGGAAAACUUGAGCUGAGAUAGUGGAUAAACAUAUUGAUAGGCAAGAAUUUAUUAAUAACUAAACUUUCAGGGAAGCUGUCUUAAAACCCAAAUAUAAAUAUUGGUCUAAGGAAAACAUGGUUGAUAUUAAGAUGCAAUUAAUGAAAUUUCUUUUGGCCCAGUGAAAAUAGACUAAAUAUUGAAAACUAUCAAAUCCUAC